AUAAUUAAUAAAUAAUAAUAGUUUUUGUUUACAUUCACAAAUCCAAUAUCUACUACCACCGUUUGCAAGAAUGUUAUCAACCCAAGCUGGGGUUAGUUUGUUUAUUUUUCAUUCGUUUUUGGAGUAAUGUUUUGACUCCUUGGCUCUGAAAUUAAGCCACAAAAAAAAAAAGCUACCAUUCCAUAAAGAAACCUACUCCACAAUUCCACGGCUCGCAAUACUCCCACAAACACUGGGGCUCUCCUCCUACUGUGCUCUUGCUGCAGUGCAGACUGCUGCCACCUGCCCUCAAAGAAGAAAUAUUACAGUUCACGUUUGGAAGACAUCUCACCACACUAUGGAUUUAAUCCUGGUUAAGUAUGUUGCCUGUGGCACCCUUAAACACGUGAGUGGCUUAUCAAUUUUCCCCUACUCACCUUCCAUCAUUCCAUUAAUUAUUUCUUCUAAUUUAUAUCCCUCUCUCUUUUUUUGCAGUUGCAAUUUACUGACGUCAUGUCUCACAUGCAUGCCUAACAUUGGACCUGGAUGUGGAUGAGGAGGAAGCAAAUAGAAAAACACAUGAGGUUUUUUCAGCACUUCAUAGUUUUUUGACAUCGAAAUAAUUUCUUCUAUGCCAUUGUCAGUGUAUCACCUCCACACUUCCCAGAGCUACAAAUCUAAACUCAUGCUUUAUCUUGGCCCUGGUAUUUUGAUUCCAUUCUGACCACCAGGGAUCUGAAUGCUGCUCAGCUCCAUGCAAGAUAACAUAUUUAUCAGCAUAUGACACGCACAUUUAACUCCUGAAAAGCUUUCUGUUAAAGACGGAAGAAAGAGUGAAGAUAAUGUUGAAGAUAAAGUUCUUAAAGGGUCCCAGUAGGUUGCAGUUUGCACAGUCCUCCUUGAUAUAUCAAUCCCCCUUCAAAUCACAGUGUCCCUUUCACAGUCACGUUCUAAAGAUCAUGCACUUACCCUGAGGAGGAGCAAUGGUCCUGCCAGAAGCCGAUGCUGGAGGGUCUUGAAUGCAGCUUUCUGUUAAAGACGGAAGAAAGAGUGAAGAGUCAAGCUCUAUGAUUUUGACCCCUGCUGCUGAAUCCAGGGACAUCCUCUGCCAGAAGGACAUCUCUUAGCUCCGCCUCCCACUCUCGCAACUUGAUAGGCUUUCCUCGGUUUUGUCCUAGUCGAAGCCUCUGCAUCUUCUUUGUAACCGUUGCCCGACAAUCAUAGAACCUGCAAAUGUACAUAAACAUUACAAUUACAUUAAUAAAAAAACAAAUACUUAGAUUAAUGUUUUUUGAAAACCACAUUUCUUUUCACAUUGUGAUGGUUAUAUGUAUACUGUUCAGCAUGUGGCUGUGACAAAUAAAUUUUUUGGUUACGUUGAACUGUUA